rnacentral:rRNA from 1 species
UAGGGAAUCUUCCACAAUGGACGCAAGUCUGAUGGAGCAACGCCGCGUGAGUGAAGAAGGUUUUCGGACCGUAAAGCUCUGUUGUUGGUGAAGAAGGAUAGAGGUAGUAACUGGCCUUUAUUUGACGGUAAUCAACCAGAAAGUCACGGCUAACUACGUGCCAGCAGCCGCGGUAAUACGUAGGUGGCAAGCGUUGUCCGGAUUUAUUGGGCGUAAAGCGAGCGCAGGCGGAAGAAUAAGUCUGAUGUGAAAGCCCUCGGCUUAACCGAGGAAUUGCAUCGGAAACUGUUUUCUUGAGUGCAGAAGAGGAGAGUAGAACUCCAUGUGUAGCGGUGGAAUGCGUAGAUAUAUGGAAGAAUACCAGUGGCGAAGGCGGCUCUCUGGUCUGCAACUGACGCUGAGGCUCGAAAGCAUGGGUAGCGAACAGGAUUAGAUACCCUGGUAGUCCAUGCCGUAAACGAUGAGUGCUAAGUGUUGGGAGGCUUCCGCCUCUCAGUGCCGCAGCUAACGCAUUAAGCACUCCGCCUGGGGGAGUACGACCGCAAGGUUGAAAC